AUCAAGCGAUAUGAACAUAAGACAUUGCUUAAUUUUGUGUUUACUUUGAUGUUUCUCCAGCAAUUAGUUGUGAAGGCAGUCUCUCUUGCCAUUGCUCGGGAUGGUGCCAGUGGUGGUGUUGUUCGGACAGUGACUGUAGCAGAUUCACAAUUUGUUACAGAUUAUGUACGUUACUUUC